rnacentral:rRNA from 1 species
UACGAAGGGGGCUAGCGUUGCUCGGAAUCACUGGGCGUAAAGCGCACGUAGGCGGGUUGUUAAGUCGGGGGUGAAAUCCUGGGAGCUCAACUCCAGAACUGCCUUCGAUACUGGCGACCUUGAGUCCGGGAGGAGGUGAGUGGAACUCCGAGUGUAGAGGUGAAAUUCGUAGAUAUUCGGAAGAACACCAGUGGCGAAGGCGGCUCACUGGCCCGGUACUGACGCUGAGGAGCGGAAAGCAUGGGAGCGAACAGG